rnacentral:tRNA from 1 species
UGGCUCAGUGGUAGAGUGCUUGCCUUGCAUGCAUGAGGGCCUGGGUUCGAUUCCUCAG